GAUGAACGCUGGCGGCGUGCCUAAUACAUGCAAGUCGAGCGAACAGACGAGGAGCUUGCUCCUCUGACGUUAGCGGCGGACGGGUGAGUAACACGUGGAUAACCUACCUAUAAGACUGGGAUAACUUCGGGAAACCGGAGCUAAUACCGGAUAAUAUAUUGAACCGCAUGGUUCAAUAGUGAAAGACGGUUUUGCUGUCACUUAUAGAUGGAUCCGCGCCGCAUUAGCUAGUUGGUAAGGUAACGGCUUACCAAGGCAACGAUGCGUAGCCGAACUGAGAGGGUGAUCGGCCACACUGGAACUGAGACACGGUCCAGACUCCUACGGGAGGCAGCAGUAGGGAAUCUUCCGCAAUGGGCGAAAGCUUGACGGAGCAACGCCGCGUGAGUGAUGAAGGUCUUCGGAUCGUAAAACUCUGUUAUUAGGGAAGAGCAAAUGUGUAAGUAACUAUGCACGUCUUGACGGUACCUAAUCAGAAAGCCACGGCUAACUACGUG
rnacentral:rRNA from 1 species